GACGAACGCUGGCGGCGUGCCUAAUACAUGCAAGUCGAACGCACAGUUUAUACCGUAGCUUGCUACACCAUAAACUGUGAGUUGCGAACGGGUGAGUAACGCGUAGGUAACCUGCCUGGUAGCGGGGGAUAACUAUUGGAAACGAUAGCUAAUACCGCAUAAUAUUGAUUAUUGCAUGAUAAUUGAUUGAAAGAUGCUAUUGCAUCACUACCAGAUGGACCUGCGUUGUAUUAGCUAGUAGGUGAGGUAACGGCUCACCUAGGCGACGAUACAUAGCCGACCUGAGAGGGUGAUCGGCCACACUGGGACUGAGACACGGCCCAGACUCCUACGGGAGGCAGCAGUAGGGAAUCUUCGGCAAUGGACGAAAGUCUGACCGAGCAACGCCGCGUGAGUGAAGAAGGUUUUCGGAUCGUAAAGCUCUGUUGUAAGAGAAGAACGGGUGUGAGAGUGGAAAGUCCACACUGUGACGGUAUCUUACCAGAAAGGGACGGCUAACUACGUG
rnacentral:rRNA from 1 species